GAUANCCGAAACCGCGCAAGGCUCAUUACAACAGCUAAAAUGUAUACGGUGAGAUACCAUUAAAUGGAUAUCUGCGGUAAAUCUGGAGCUAAUACAUGCAUAAAAGAUUGUAUAAUUAUGUUGUACGGUUGCAGUUAUUAGAUUAAAACCAAUGGGCUCUGCCCAUAUAAGUUAACUCUAGAUAAUGCGUUACCAUACAGAUUAAUUUCUGAUGGAAUGCCGUAUUUGUAUCUGCCCUAUCAACUAUAUAACCGUGUAUUGAACGGUUAUGGUGUUGCCGGGUAACGGAGAAUUAGGGUUCGUCUCCGGAGAGAAUGCCUUAAAAACGGCUUUCACAUCCAAGGAAGGCAGCAGGCGCGAAAAUUACCCACUCUCAGUGCGAGGAGGUAGUGACGUGAAAUGACAAGUUCCAUUCUUUAUAGGAUGGAACAUUGGAAUGGUUUAAUUUUAAAUCCAUUGAAGAUUAUCAAUGAGAGGGCAAGUCUGGUGCCAGCAGCCGCGGUAAUUCCAGCUCUCAUACUGCAUUGAAUUGCUGUUGCGGUUAAAAAGUUCGUAGUUGCAAGUGUACGGAGUGGGAUGGUUUAACUUUUUGGUUAAUACUAUUUCCUCCCGUUAAANAGUUUAUAUGGGUAAAAAACCCUAUAUACCUCCAUUACUUUGAAUAAAUCCAAAAGGGUUUAAACAAGCGUAUUUGGUUGAAAAGGGUGUGCGUGGGAAAAACCAUACACAGGGCUUGGAAUUUGGUUUGGUGGGUUUAAAGGGCCNAGGAAAGGAUUAAAAGGGAAACAACGGGGGGGCAAAAUUUUUCAAAGGGNNGAAGGGGUAAANNUUCGGGAACCCUUUGGAAAAAUUGCCAAAANGAAAAACUUUUCCCCAAAAAAGUGAAAA
rnacentral:rRNA from 1 species